rnacentral:rRNA from 1 species
CCUACGGGGGGCUGCAGUAGGGAAUAUUGGACAAUGGGCGCAAGCCUGAUCCAGCCAUGCCGCGUGAGUGAAGAAGGCCCUCGGGUUGUAAAGCUCUUUUGUCCGGAAAGAAAAGCAUUCGGUUAAUACCCGGGUGUUCUGACGGUACCGGAAGAAUAAGCACCGGCUAACUUCGUGCCAGCAGCCGCGGUAAUACGAAGGGUGCAAGCGUUGCGUGGAAUUACUGGGGGUGAUGCGUUAAGUGGGGGUUGAAAGCCCUGGGCUCAACCUGGGAAUUGCAUUGGAUACUGGCAAGCUAGAGUGCGGCAGAGGGUAGUGGAAUUCCUGGUGUAGCAGUGAAAUGCGUAGAGAUCAGGAGGAACAUCCGUGGCGAAGGCGACUGCCUGGGCCAGCACUGACACUGAGGCACGAAAGCGUGGGGAGCAAACAGGAUUAGAUACCCGGGUAGUC